UUUACAGUUCAUGCACAAUCACAAAUGCAGCACAUCAAUCAAUUUCUUCCAACCAGCGAAUCAAGAAAUCUUGGAGUGGAGAAUCAUUCUGAAAGUAGACCAACUCCAGGACAACAUCACAGCAGUGGUCGGAAAAAUGCAGCAAGCCAAGCUGACUUUCAAAAGAUGAUUCGUUAUCUGUUUCUUCAGAGGGGAGGCAGUUUGGGAGAUGGGAAUUAGGAGGAUGCUACAGUUACACAGGGCAAAUUUCAGCAGCUCAGUUUCAAACUUGCAACUAACAAUGAGUACUACUGGUCAGGGUGGAAGACCAGCUGACGUACCAGUUUUGCCAGGUUGAAGGACCAGCUUAAACCAGCUAAGACAGCCAACCAACUUAGCCAAGGUGGUAUAUGCUGGUGGGUCAGCUGGUCUUCCCACCUGACCAGCUAAGACUAGCUACAAAGUGGCCAAAACCUCUGUAAAACAAUUCUGCUACACCAGCCUGACCAGCUGAAACCAUACUGGGAGUAUUCAUAUUCAUAUCGAUUUGCAUUUACACAUAAAAUAGGUAACAUACAGUGCUGUGCAAAAGUCUUAGGCCACCAUCACCAGCUUUGUUGUUUUAGCAAAAUUUUAAUGUCCAUCCAUAUUUAUUUUUCACUCUUUUUAUUAAGAUACAAACAGAAAAUACAGGAAAUAUGUACACAAAAUUAAAAACAAAACAAUUUUCAGAACUAAAUGUCAUCUUCAGGCAUCAGUCAGUAUUUAGUGUGACUUC